AUGGCCACCCUCAUCCCUCGUGCUCCACCACCAAAUCCCCACCGUCACUUCCUUCUCCACCGACCACCGACCCUAUCCCCCCAGCUCCGCCUGCGCCUCCCUGUUCGCCGCCUCCGCCUCGCUUCCCCGGUCGCGGCCAUUGCCACGGUGACGGCCGCCGUGCCCCCCGACGACAUCUCGCAGCUCAAUAACCGUCUCCGCGCGCUCGUCCGCCGCCGCGGUGUCUCUUCCGCUGCCACAUCUCCCAUGGACCCCGCCCAGGCGGACGCCUACCUCCACAUGAUCCGCGAGCAGCAGCGCCUCGGCCUCCGCCAGCUCCGCCGGCACUCGGCCGAACCGGAAUACGAGAGAGACGUCGGAAGCAACGGGGAGGACGAGGAGGAGGGCGCCGGAAGGAGGAAGGGGAUGGCGGCCAGGAGCUCUUUGGGGCACCGUGUGGACCCGCGUGAGCUGGAGCCCGGCGAGUACGUCGUUCACAAGAAAGUCGGCGUCGGCAAGUUCGUCUGUAUAAGCGGAGAGGACGGAGAGGACUACGUGUUCAUUCAGUAUGCGGACGCCAUGGCGAAGCUUGCAGUCGACCAGGCAGCACGCAUGCUCUACCGAUACAACCUUCCUCAUGAGAAAAAGAGGCCAAGGAAUCUAAGCAAGCUGAAUGAUCCUUCUACAUGGGAGAAGAGGAGGCUGAAAGGAAAGCUUGCUGUUCAGAAGAUGGUGGUCAACUUGAUGGAGUUAUAUUUACAAAGGAUGAGGCAGAGAAGGCCGCCGUACCGAAAGCCUGAGGCGAUGGAUCAGUUUGCUUCUGAAUUUCCUUACGAGCCUACCCCAGACCAAAACCAGGCUUUCAUAGAUAUUGAGAAUGAUCUGACUGAAAGGGAAACACCAAUGGACAGAUUGAUCUGUGGAGAUGUCGGGUUUGGUAAAACGGAAGUUGCAAUGCGUGCUAUAUUCAUCGUUGUAUCUACAGGAUAUCAAGCUAUGGUUCUCGCACCAACUGUAAUACUAGCCAAUCAACACUAUGAUGUAAUGUCUGAGCGUUUCUCCAACUACCCUGACAUAAAGGUCGCCAUAUUCAGCGGUGCUCAGAGCAAGGAUGAAAAGGAUGAGCUAAUAACAAAAAUUACGAAUGGGCAUUUGCAAAUAAUUGUUGGAACUCAUGCUCUUCUUACAGAACGGAUGGCCUAUAACAAUCUCGGUCUCCUAGUGGUGGAUGAGGAACAGAAGUUCGGUGUACAACAAAAGGAGAAGAUUGCAUCAUUCAAAGCUUCUAUUGAUGUUCUUACCCUGUCCGCAACACCCAUUCCACGAACUCUGUAUCUUGCUUUAACCGGUUUCCGUGAUGCAAGUUUAAUGUCUACACCACCUCCGGAAAGAGUCGCUGUCAAGACCUAUGUGUCAGCAUUUAGUAGAGAAAGUGCUCUAUCAGCUAUCAAAUUGGAGUUGAAGCGUGGCGGUCAAGUUUUCUAUGUUGUUCCUCGAAUAAAAGCCAUAGACGAUGUAUUGCAAUUUCUCAAGGACUCUCUUCCAGAUGUACCGAUGGCUAUUGCUCAUGGAAAGAAAGUGUCAAAGAAUAUACAACUUGCUAUGGAAAAGUUUUCUUGUGGGGAAAUAAAGAUUCUUGUAUGCACACAUAUCAUUGAAAGUGGAAUAGAUAUUCCAAAUGCCAACACAAUGAUAGUCCAGUAUGCAGAACUAUUUGGGCUCGCACAGCUGUAUCAGUUGCGAGGAAGAGUAGGAAGAUCAGGUAGAGAGGGUUUCACAUACCUCUUCUACACUGACAAGUCUUUGCUUUCCAGAAUUGCCAUGGAUAGACUUGGAGCUAUUGAAGAGCAUUCUGAUCUCGGUCAAGGUUUCCAUGUCGCAGAGAAGGAUAUGGGUAUUAGGGGAUUUGGAAGCAUGUUUGGUGAGCAACAAUCUGGAGACGUUGCAAAUGUUGGCAUCGAUCUGUUCUUUGAUAUGCUUUUUGACAGCUUGUCCAAGGUUGAUCACUUUCGUCUUAAACCCAUUCCUUACAAAGAUGUUCAGCUGGACAUUAACAUUUCUCCGCAUCUCUCUUCUGAAUACAUAAGUUAUCUUGAAAAUCCUGUUGAAUUGCUCAAUGAAGCAGCGAAAGCUGCAGAACAAGAUAUAUGGAACUUAAUGCAAUUCACAGAAGAUCUUCGUCGACAGUAUGGGAAGGAGCCCCGUGAUAUGGAGUUGCUAUUAAAAAAGCUCUAUGUAAGGCGGAUGGCAGCAGAUCUUGGUAUCAGCCGGAUAUAUCCAUCUGGCAAAAUGAUCAUCAUGAAAACAAACAUGAACAGGAAAGUUUUUAGGCUCAUGGAAGAAACCAUGGCUUCUGAGACGCAUCGCAAUUCUUUGUCAUUCACUGGAAAGGAAAUUAAGGACAACGCUGGACAUGGCUUGCAUGCUCAUUGGUUUUGCUCCCAUCCGUGCUCCACACCUACUUAA
rnacentral:rRNA from 1 species